GCCAAUGUGAUGUAGUGGUUUGAGCAAAGGAUUAGGACUCUGGAGAUCUGGGUUCAAUUCCCUGCUUGGCCA